rnacentral:lncRNA from 1 species
AGCGGGUUUCCCCGAGGCCCUGGGACUCCCGGAAGCCCCGAAGGUGUUUACACGACGGUCACGUGAGGCGCCACGCGGACUGAGUCACCGGGAAGGAUCCGGCGGGGCGCUGGGGUCGGCCGGGCCAACCUCGGGGCCCCACGGCCUUCUCCCCUACCCCGCCUCGGCCCUGGCCUCGCAGGCUGGGAAAUCCAAGGCGUGCCAGGCCCGGAGGCAGUCCACGAGCAGACGGGGGCUCCAGAAGGAGCAACUCGGGAGUCAUCACACCAUGCCCUCAGUUUCGCACAUGAGAAGAUGGAGGCCCAAAGCGGCUCAUAGCUGGGGUUCAGGACGGAUGGGGGGUCGUCAGGAGUGACUGGAGAGAGAAGAGCGUCCCAGGUCUUCAUAUAGGGAUGUGGUUGCUUUCCAUAGCAGCCUUCCUAACUGAAGGCAUUGUUCCCGGGGCACUGCAACAUCCAGCGAGUAGGAUGCCAAGAACAACUCAGCACACGAGCUCUGCAGGGUCGAGGAAGGAGUUCUCCGGGGCUCUGGCUGGACCCGGGGACGAGGCCUAGAGUGGAAGAGGAAUGGAUGAACUGAACUCGCUUCAGGGCAGUGUGGCUCCCAGCUUUUUGGUUUACGUGGCUAAUGAUUUUAUUUUUAAACUAGAGGUUUUCAACACCAUCUAUAAAAUAUUCUUGUAAAAAAAAAAAGGAAUCCAAUUGGAUCAAGCUUCUAGAUCUAAUCACUUGUUUAUAAGAAACACAGAGGGGAUGGGGGAAUAUGUUGCACCAGACCACGGGGAUGCGGUCAGCAAAAUCCACAGCAUGGAAAAUUCCAGGGGCAAACAACCCAGAUUCUUCAGCAAAUAAAUUACAGGGGAAAAAAGGUGGGGAGGGGAAGCCUAUAGAAUAUAAUAGAGUCUUCAGAGACAUAGAUCAAAGGAAAUGUGUGGACUCUGUUUAGAUCUCGAUUGAACAAACCAACUGCCAAAAAAUUGAGACAAAUUGUAUAUGUGAAGAUUUAUAUUAAAGAAGUGUUCAUUUUUUUAAGUGUGAAAAUGCUAAUGUGGUUAUGUUAAAGACAAAUGUUUACAGAUGAAUUUAUCUGAUGUCAGGGAUUUGCUUCAGAAUAAUCCAGGGCAUGGUGGGAUCGGGGAAUUGGGGAACAAAAGUGGCCAAGGGUGAGUGUUGUUGGAGCUGAGUUACCUGGGGAUUCAUCAAACUAUCCUUAAUACUUUUUUAUAUGUUUGAAACUUUCCAAAAUAAGAAAUUUUUAAAAAUUGGGUAUAUUGACAGAAAGUUAGCCAACUUUUCCCAGUUAAUCAAUGUUUCCCAAAUAAGAACAUCACAACAAAAUAGCUACCAUCCACUCCCACCAUCAUUUCAUAAGAAAAGGAACUUCGUAAGGGCAAACACACAGGAAGGGCUUAAUCUCUGAAUCAAGGCCAGUCUUCAAAGGGAAUGUAAGUUGCUUUCUGGAAAAAUCACAGCAGACACGACCAGGGACUGGCACUGAGCUGUGGGCCCCAGCUUCAAACAAUCAUCCCCAAAUUUUUCAAAGGUUGACAUGAAAGCUGGUGGACAGGCCAUUUGAGGCUGUCCUUGCUUGCUCUGGGACUCCAGAAGGCUGUCACUUGUCUCCUCUGGACCAUUUUUCCUCUCUCAAAGACUCACAGUGUUGAACUUAGAAAGGGCCUCAGAGACCUGGUGUAACCUCUUAUUUUUACAGAUGGAAAACAGGCCAAGAGAGGAAAAGUGACUUGCUGGGGGUAACACAGUCUGACUCAAGCAGGGCUUUUGACUCCUAGCACAGAGUUCACUCCACCCAAUGAUUUACCUCCUCUGUGUCGACUCACGUUGUUUUUGUCUUCAAUUGGUGCCUGGAAAGAUAAUUGCAAAAACUUGGUGCCAGACCACCAGGCUUUAAAUCUUGACCUUGCCACUUGCUGGCUGUGUGACCUUGGGCAAGUUUCCUUAACUUCUCGGGGCCUCAGUUUCCUCAUCUGUAAAAUGGGUAGGUGCUGCAUAACACACUCACCUUGUAAGGUUGCUGUGAAGACUGAGCUAACGCGCGUGCAGUGCCUGCCACAUAGCAACUGCUCCGUGUGGGCUGUUGCCUGGGCUUUCACCUCCUAUGAGGAAGAUGAGCUGCUCAGAUUGAUUGUGGAAAGGAGGCUGGCCUUUAACUUCGGAUCAUGGAAUUUCCCGGGCUGGAAAGGGUCUCCUGAGAUCAUACAGAGGAAUCCUUUUACAGAAAGAGGAAGUGAGUCCCCGGGGGCUAUGUGAGCUGCUGAUGGUCCGGGAAGGCAGUUGGUGACAGAAGAUGAAAUAAACCCUAAAGGGGCCCCAGGGUCCCGGGGCUCUGGGCUUUGCUAAGCAAGUCAGUGAGGCCCCCAGCUCCAUCUCAUAGGCCCAUUCCACCCUAAGCUAAUGUCAGUGCCGGUCAAUUAAAGGCACAUGGUGAGUGCGCAGAGCUUUACAGUUUAUGAUAAGCAUUUGCAGACUUGGUCCAGUGGGAGCCUCACUCCAGCCCUAGAAGGUUGUGAGUCCUGGAAUGAAUACCCCGUUUCACAGGAAGAAACAGGGGUUGGGGGCGGGGGGAAGGGAUUGGUAACUGAAG